UUAAACUGAAGAGUUUGAUCAUGGCUCAGAUUGAACGCUGGCGGCAGGCUUAACACAUGCAAGUCGAGCGGAGAGAAGUAGCUUGCUACUGAUCUUAGCGGCGGACGGGUGAGUAAUACUUAGGAAUCUG
rnacentral:rRNA from 1 species